GCCUUAGACUAUGCUUACAUGAGGAGGAUGAAUUCAGAACUGCACGAGGAUACGAUAAUCCAAGAUAUUUAGUCGUACACACGUAGAAAUCUUGUCAACAAGAUGUGUUCGCAACAGGUUUGUAGCAAGCUUGUCAACAAGUUGUAACAAUGCUGUUAUUUUAUCAAGUUGCUACAAGGUUGUCACUCACAACUUGUUGACAAAUUGUUGAAUUGCAGGACGACAACAAGUUGUUGGGAACAACUUGUAACAAGCCUGUUGAGCUCAACAACCUCGCAGCAAGUUGUGUAACAAGCCGUUGACAACUUGUCAACAAGCUGGGAACAAGCAGUGCGAACACAUCCUGUUGAAAAGUUGUUGGAACAGCAUUGCAACAAGUCCGCUGUAGGUUUGUUAUAACUUGUGCGUUUUUUACGUGUUUUUACAAACUCACACAAAGUACAGGUGUCUGAAAGGCAUUCAAACUACGAGCACAAUUGUCUAUAGAAAC